CGUUGAUCCUCUCUCUCUCUCUCUCUAUUCAUCUUUGUUUGGUGUUCUGUACACCUUCAAUUGAGCUGCGCGACCAAACCGUAUAUUCUCCUUUUCAUUUCUGGAGAGUGGGCUUGUUUUGUGGGUUAAUCCACUGCAGGACCUCUUCUUUUCUUUUGAUCCUCUUCGCCUGUUUGUUUAAAUAAGAUGAAUAAUAGAUACUUUGACAAUUGGGAGAGGCUGGUUACAGCCACUCUAGGGAGAGAGGAGCUUUGGGAACUUGCCUGUGCACACUCCAGGGACCCCAGCCUCUCCUCUAUUUCGUCAGAUUUCAGUUACUCCUCUCCACUUCAUGAUCAUUUUCGAGACCCUGAAGCUGCAUUUCUUAUACUUUUUGUGAUAAUGAAGCAAUUUGGACUCCAUGACAAUUAAACGCUGAUACUUCCAUGUUAAAUUUUAAUUUUUUCUUUCUCCACUAUAUUAGUCAUUUUAAAUAUUUUGUUUAUGGACAUUGGAGUUUUUGGGGGGUCAAUCUUUUCUGUGAGAUGAUCCCGUAAUAUCUUUUACUAGUGAUGGAGUAUUGCGAUUAUUCUGCACUUGCAAAGAUGUACAUGUAGAGAAAUUUGUUUUAUGGUUUUUCAUGUGAACCUCAUAAAUUCCACAUUCAUAGGCCGACGAAGAAAGUAAGGAUAUGGCAAAAGCAUCUUUUUGGAUCUAUUGAGCUUUUGUGAUAAAUGGUGGAAUUUUAUUCAUGCUUAUGUUGAUAUGAUUUGCAUCUGCUCAUUUGUAACGUCCUUAUCUUUUCUACCUUUUUCCUUUAAAACUUCUCAAGCUCAUAUAUUCUCAGCAAAUCCAUCUUUUCUUCAGCUUCUUCCAGCUCAAGCUUCCCAUUUUAUAGUAGUUGGGAGUCUUCCUACUCCAAGACCUGAAGAUGGGAUAUUGCAGUUGCACCAUGCUAUGGCCAUUUCUUUCAAUGAAUUAAAAUAUGCGACUUGAAACAUUCAAUGUCACAACAUGAUAGGGAUCGGAUAACUUGGUCCAGUUUUUAAAGGAUGGAUCAACAAACACAUACUUACUGCUGCAGAGCCAGGAUCUGGAAUGGCUGUUGCUAUCAAGAAGUGUAAUGGUAUGCCUGGGUUCAAGGAAUGGUUGGUAGGUUCUUAGCUAUGCAAAACUUCUUCAUAAAUUCUUUGAGUAACCACCCAAUAUUUUGCAGAAGCAAGUGAUUUAUCUGUCGGAACUUCAUCAUCCAAACCUGAUUGAACUUCUUGCUUACUGCGACGAGGGUGACAACCAGCUUUUGGUUUGUGAGUUCAUGCCGGAAGGAAGCCUGUUGAACCAUU
rnacentral:lncRNA from 1 species